rnacentral:rRNA from 1 species
UACGUAGGGACCGAGCGUUGUCCGGAUUCAUUGGGCGUAAAGAGCUCGUAGGCGGCUGUUCAAGUCGAACGUGAAAACUCGGGGCUCAACUCCGAGCCUGCGUUCGAUACUGGAUGGCUAGAGUCUGGUAGGGGGGAUCUGGAAUUCCUGGUGUAGCGGUGGAAUGCGCAGAUAUCAGGAGGAACACCGGUGGCGAAGGCGGGAUCUG